rnacentral:sRNA from 1 species
AUUGUUCUUGGACUCCUUUUGUUUGUGGAGUCUUUCUUUAUAUUUUGUUAUUAGGUCUUAUGUUCUUGUUUUUUCUUAGUACUUGUUUAGUCUUUUACUUGGUUUAGGAGUGGGUGUUGAUCCAGAUCAAUGUUACCCUCAACCGAACUUAUGACUUGUAUUAAUAAAAUAUUAGUCAAUUCAGUUCUGAGUUGUACUUUUACAUAUUGUCUGCUGACAAAUAUCCAAUGCUUUGUUGCCUAAAAAUUUUGAAUGGACAGGUGAUGUUUUGACUACCGAUUGAGUCUUGUGUUCUGAAAUUUUUCUUGACAUCGCUUGACCAUUUUUCACUUAUAACUUACUUGAAUUUCCUUUUCGUGACUCUAUAGGCAGACAAGUACAACUGGUUGACACACAAAGAAAUAUAUCAGAAGGUGAUUAAGUGGUGAGGGUGGAGUCGGAAAGACCGAGACAGCAAAAAUAGUAAUGCAAUACUUGACUGCCCUUGGAGGAGGAAGCGGAAUAGAGAACGAGAUA